AAGAGGGUGACAGAAGGGCUAUGUGUCUGACUUGAAAUCAGAAUAUGGGGGUUCGAUUCCCUCCUCUCUCG
rnacentral:tRNA from 1 species